rnacentral:rRNA from 1 species
CCUACGGGUGUCAGCAGUGAGGAAUAUUGGUCAAUGGGCGCGAGCCUGAACCAGCCAAGUAGCGUGAAGGAUGACUGCCCUCUGGGUUGUAAACUUCUUUUAUAAAGGCAUAAAGUGAGGCACGUGUGCCUGUUUGUAUGUGCUUUAUGAAUAAGGAUCGGCUAACUCCGUGCCAGCAGCCGCGGUAAUACGGCGGAUCCGAGCGUUAUCCGGAUUUGUUGGGUUUAAAGGGAGCGUAGAUGGGUUGUUAAGUCAGUUGGGAAAGUUUGCGGCUCAACCGUAAAAUUGCAAUUGAUACUGGCAGUCUUGAGUACAGUUGAGGGAGGUGGAAUUCGUGGUGUAGCGGUGAAAUGCUUAGAGAUCACGAAGAACUCCGAUUGCGAAGGCAGCGUACUAAACUGCCACUGACAUUGAUGCUCGAAAGUGUGGGGAUCAAACAGGAUUAGAUACCCGUGUAGUC